GAAAAAUAAUAGAUGAUUAUGUUACUUGGUUCUUUUAUAUAUAUAUAUAUAUAUUUGAUAAAUUCUGGCCAUGCAUGUGAUAGAACGAUAACUAAAAACGACGUAGAAAACGCGAAUGAAAACGAUAAUAACGAUAAUACCUGUGCAAGAAGCGGCGUCUCUGUGCUGUCAGCGAUUUGGUAGAGCCGGCAAUUUGCGUUUGCUCUGAAGAAUACGUGCCCAAACGAAAAAAGAUAAAGAAGACAACGUAAAUCGUCACUAUAAUAGAUAGACGUCAAAAGACUGGCGCAAAGAGAAACAGAAAAAUCAUAAGCAACCCGCUCGAUCAAUAAAACACCCAAGUAAAUGUACAGAACUGACAUCGAGACAUGCACGGAGGCUUUUUUGGCGUUUGAGGUUAUAUUUACACGGAUACAUUGCGAUGUGAAUAUUUUGCAAACUGUUUGCCACCCAUAAUCAUUUUUCUUUAUAUUUUUUCGUAUAUAUUUCUUCAUUUGAAUUAUACGAACAAAAUAUAAUCUUCAUGGCGAACAAUUUGCAAUAGCCGACGAUCCUUGAAAGUUAACCUGAAACCGAGUAAAUGAAUUGAAGAAUGUACGUACAUGAAUGAAUUGAAAACUGACCUGUCGAGGCUUGACCGGUGGUGGUGGUCGAGUGGAGGACGCGAGAGCUGCGGGUGGUGCCGUAGUUGGGGGCUGUUGAUGAAGUGAGUGUUGAGGCUGCCAAGGCAGCCCUGUGCGCCCCAAUGUUCCCUGCAACUGCUGCUGUACCUGUUGCUGUACCUGUUGCUGUACUUGCUGUUGCUGCUGCUGCUGCUGCAGUUGCUGCUGACUGUUGUUGUGCUCGACUACUGGCGUAACUCGAGGAAGCGCUGAAGCGACUGAAGAAAUCUUCCGAACUGUCUGUGAAAUAAGCGACUGAUUAUUCGGCUCUUAUUUUUAUGGUUCUUUUAUCAGGCCAAAUUUUAUUUCGAUUAUUAUAAUUUAAAAUAAAUUUUCGUUAUAUAUAAUUAUUUUAUAAAUUUAAUUACAAUAGUUUAAAAAAGCCUGAUAAAAUAAUUAUUUUACGUGUAUAUAUAUAUAUAUAUAUAUAAAUAUUAAUUAUGAGUUAAUUAUUAGAAAUGACAACAUUACCUGACUUAACAGGCCAAAUCUCAAGAAGAUAUUUGAGAACUGCUAUUGGUUGUUGGAAAUCCAGAGGUGGCCCAUUUUCUUCUGAAUGUAGCAUUAACACUGGUCCAAAACAAACUGCCAAACUUGCUGGAGACAUUUUAUUGCAUUGGGAUACUACCAUUGCCAAAUGGUCGAGCAAAUAUAUUAAUGUACACUGUUAAAUAAAUAAUUAAUUAGUAUCCUCAA